rnacentral:rRNA from 1 species
GCUCAGUAACACGUGGACAAUCUGCUCUUAGGUGGAGGAUAACCUCGGGAAACUGAGGACAAUACUCCAUAGGUGAGAAGCUCUGGAAUGAGUCUUGCUCAAAGGCGCCAGCCUGUUCCGGCUGGUUGUGCCUAAGAAGGAGUCUGCGGCGGAUUAGGUUGAUGUUAGGGUAAUGGCCUAACAUGCCCACGAUCUGUAUCGGCUAUGAGAGUAGGAGCCGGGAGAUGGAUACUGAGACAAGGAUCCAGGCCCUACGGGGCGCAGCAGGCGCGAAAUCUUCGCAAUGUGCUAACGCACGACGAGGGAACCCCAAGUACUCUUGUACAACAAGAGUUUUUGCGGAGUGUAAAAAGCUCCGAGAAUAAGGGCUGGGUAAGGCUGGUGCCAGCCUCCGCGGUAAAACCAGCAGCUCUAGUGGUACUCGCGUUUAUUGGGCUUAAAGCGUACGUAGUCGGUUCGGCAAGUUCCCUGUGAAAUCCUGUGACUCAAUUACAGGGCCUGCGGGGAAUACUACCGGGCUAGGAACCGGGAUAGGUCAGGGGUAUUCCUUGGGUAGCGGUGAAAUGCUAUAAUCCAAGGAGGACCACCAAUAGCGAAGGCACCUGUCUGGAACGGGUUCGACGAUGAGGGACGAAAGCUAGGGGAGCAAACGGGAUUAAAUACCCCGGUAGUCCUAGCCGUAAACGAUGCAGACUAAGUGUUUCUCGAACUUUGCGUUCGAGAAGCGUUGAAGGGAAACCGUUAAGUCUGCCGUCUGGGGAGUACGGUCGCAAGGCUGAAACUUAAAGGAAUUGGCGGGGGAGCACCACAAGGGGUGGAGUCUGCGGUUUAAUUGGAUACAACGCCGGGAAACUUACCAGGGGCGACGGCAGGAUGACGGCCAGGCUGAAGGUCUUGCCAGACGAGCCGAGAGGUAGUGCAUGGCCGCCGUCAGCUCGUACCGUAAGGCGUGCGGUUAAGUCCGUUAACGAGCGAGACC